UGAAUUAAGCAGAAGUUCCCGCUUCUCACCUAAGCUCUUAAGCCUCUAGGUUAAUACGUUAGUUAAUUUGCUGAUGAAUUGAUACUGCGGGUGCUUUUGCGCCCGCAGUUUUUGCAUGGG
rfam:Lactobacillus dextrinicus DSM 20335 NODE_57, whole genome shotgun sequence.